rnacentral:tRNA from 1 species
AAUCUUAUAUUCAAAGUGAUGAUUUUAGAUUGCAAUUCUAAAGGUGUAAAGGUUUACUAAGGUUU